GAUGAGCGCUGGCGGCGUGCCUAAUACAUGCAAGUCGAGCGAAUGGAUUAAGAGCUUGCUCUUAUGAAGUUAGCGGCGGACGGGUGAGUAACACGUGGGUAACCUGCCCAUAAGACUGGGAUAACUCCGGGAAACCGGGGCUAAUACCGGAUAACAUUUUGAACCGCAUGGUUCGAAAUUGAAAGGCGGCUUCGGCUGUCACUUAUGGAUGGACCCGCGUCGCAUUAGCUAGUUGGUGAGGUAACGGCUCACCAAGGCAACGAUGCGUAGCCGACCUGAGAGGGUGAUCGGCCACACUGGGACUGAGACACGGCCCAGACUCCUACGGGAGGCAGAAGUAGGGAAUCUUCCGCAAUGGACGAAAGUCUGACGGAGCAACGCCGCGUGAGUGAGGAAGGCUUUCGGGUCGUAAAACUCUGUUGUUAGGGAAGAACAAGUGCUAGUUGAAUAAGCUGGCACCUUGACGGUACCUAACCAGAAAGCCACGGCUAACUACGUGCCAGCCGCCGCCGUAA
rnacentral:rRNA from 1 species